CCUCCGUUCUGCCGCCGUGAGGAAUAUUGGUCAAUGGCCGAGAGGCUGAACCAGCCAAGUCGCGUGAGGGAAGACGGCCCUACGGGUUGUAAACCUCUUUUGUCGGGGAGCAAAGCGAGUCACGUGUGACUCAUUGAGAGUACCCGAAGAAAAAGCAUCGGCUAACUCCGUGCCAGCAGCCGCGGUAAUACGGAGGAUGCGAGCGUUAUCCGGAUUUAUUGGGUUAAAAGGGUGCGCAGGCGGAGGUGCAAGUCAGCGGUCAAAUUGCGGGGCUCAACCCCGUACUGCCGUUGAAACUGGAUGCCUAGAGUGCGCGAGAGGUAUGCAGAAUGCGUGGUGUAGCGGUGAAAUGCAUAGAUAUCACGCAGAACUCCGAUUGCGAAGGCAGCAUACCGGCGCGCAACUGACGCUCAUGCACGAAAGCGUGGGUAUCGAACAGGAUUAGAUACCCGAGUAGUC
rnacentral:rRNA from 1 species